rnacentral:lncRNA from 14 species
UGAAGUGAUAUUGUUUGCUCUAGAUCCUGGGCAUAAGGAACCAGUGCCCACUGCCCCUUCCCUUCCUCCUGUUCUCUGUGCCCGGUCCUCUGUCCCCUGCCAGGAUGGGAAGGGAUGCAUUCCCAGGGAGUCCCUCUGCAAUGGUGAGGAUGACUGUCAGGAUGGCUCAGAUGAAAAAAACUGUUUUCGGGUCUGCCAUCAACCAGGCGUCUUCCAGUGUCUGGAUGGAAGCGGGUGCAUAGAGGAGCGAUAUCACUGUGAUGGGGCUGAGCAUUGCUCCGAUGGGUCUGAUGAGUUGGGCUGCUGGAGGCCUGCUGAUGACUGCUCACUGCGCUGUGACAACAAGACCCGCUGUAUCCCUAAGAGUUGGAGAUGUGAUGGGAAGCCAGACUGUUUGGACAGAAGAGAUGAACAAGGAUGCCUUCAUGAAAAAUGCAGUUCCACUGAAUUCCAAUGUGAGAGCGGCCAGUGCGUGUCUUCUUCUCUGCAUUGUGAUGGGAACCGAGACUGCCUGGACCAUUCAGAUGAAGAAGGCUGCCCCGUUUCCUGGUCCCUACAGUGCCCAGAAGGGGAGAUGAAGUGCCCGAAGAGUGGAGAGUGUGUGCUGGCAGAGUGGAUAUGUGACCAUGAUGUGGACUGUGAAGAUGGAGCCGACGAGAAGGAUUGUGGCCUCAAGGUGAUCUCAUGUGGCCCAAGGCAGUGGGCUUGUGGCAGUGGAGACCAGUGUGUGCCUGACUUCUGGCACUGUGACGGACAGAGUGACUGCAGAGAUGGCAGUGAUGAGGCUGGAUGUGCUCCACAGAGGUGCCAGGAUUCCGAGUUCCAGUGUGCUACUACUGGUGCCUGCCUCAGCUUCAGCAUGGUGUGUGACGGGCGAGAGGACUGUGCAGAUGGUUCAGAUGAGGGUGGGGAGUGUUCCUCAUCAAUGUGCAGCCCCGAACUAUGUUACCACUCUUGCUACCAGUCCCCAACUGGGUCGGUAUGUGCUUGUGCCCCAGGCUUUGAGCUGGAGAGCAAUGGGCAAAUCUGUCGGGAUGUAAAUGAGUGCCAGCAGCCAUCUGGUCAACCUUGCAGUCAGACCUGUAUCAAUACUGAGGGCUCAUACAUCUGUGCCUGUCACCCUGGCUACUUGCUGGGCUCUGAUGGCCACACUUGUAAGGCAACAGGUGCUGAGCCAAUCCUGCUUGUUUCGAUUGAGUUUAACCUAUUUCUUUAUGGACUGAGAAGCUUAAAAGAAGAUAUCCUGGCAACUGUAGACAAGAACCGGGUUAUUUACUCUGUGGACUAUGACUUAGUGGAUCAGAAAAUCUUCUGGGCCGGUCCCAAUGCAGAAAGUAUAAGGUGGACAAGUAUGGCCACGAAGAAAGAUGGGAUGGUGGUGCAAGGGAUAAAGCCAGACUGUAUAGGGGUUGACUGGAUUGGAAGAAAUCUCUACUGGACUGAUGGGAGAGCUGGCCAGAUUUUGGCAAUUCAGUUAACUGCUGUUGGGAAAGGAAAACCUGAGUACACAGUUGUCUUGGAUGAUGACCUGAUUCAGCCCCAGUCUUUGGCUUUGGAUCCCUUAAAUGGGUGAGUCGGGCAUCAGAACUCUUGGUCAAGAACUUCAAGCUUAUUAUUCCUCCCGAGUUCUACUUUGGUGCUUGUGUUAGCCCAGUCCAGAAC